CGCUACGCGGGCGGAGGUGCGGAGCCCCGCGCGGAGCGGGAGUCCGCUCCGGGAGCGCGGCAGGAGGCUGAGGCGAGGCCCAGCAGCAGCGAGACCGCCGGCCACGAAACCGGGGAGGCCCGCAGCGGGCUUUGGGGGACCUGAACAUCUCCGCGCCCAGGUAGGCAUCUCGGGCGCCAAGCCCGCCUCCCUGCGGCGGUGUCACCUGCCUCGAGGCCGUCUCGCCUGCUGCCGCCUGGCUGGGAAGGACGGUGGACGCCGCUGGCGCGUGCCCGAGCACGCACGCAAGGAGUUGUUCCAGACAUCCAUGAACAAGCCAGGACGAAGCCCUUUCCCGCCAAACCACUACGGCUGGGGAAUAAGCGGUGCCUGCCCCAACUCUGGGAGCGGGAACCCGGGAGAAGACUUGAGUGGCUCUGGAAAAACUGGCAGGAAUUUCCUUGUCGUGAGAAGACCGACGAGCGUCUGCAGAGGAGAAGACAACUGCAAACAGACUUUGGGCCAGGG
rnacentral:lncRNA from 1 species